GAUGAACGCUGGCUACAGGCUUAACACAUGCAAGUCGAGGGGAAACGACGGGGAAGCUUGCUUCCCCGGGCGUCGACCGGCGCACGGGUGAGUAACGCGUAUCCAACCUGCCUCUGACUGAGGGAUAACCCGUCGAAAGUCGGCCUAAUACCUCAUGGCAUCGUCUGCGGGCAUCCAACGACGAUUAAAGAUUUCAUCGGUCAGAGAUGGGGAUGCGUCUGAUUAGCUUGUUGGCGGGGUAACGGCCCACCAAGGCGACGAUCAGUAGGGGUUCUGAGAGGAAGGUCCCCCACAUUGGAACUGAGACACGGUCCAAACUCCUACGGGAGGCAGCAGUGAGGAAUAUUGGUCAAUGGGCGAGAGCCUGAACCAGCCAAGUAGCGUGCAGGAUGACGGCCCUAGGGGUUGUAAACUGCUUUUAUGCGGGGAUAAAGUGAGGGACGUGUCCUUCAUUGCAGGUACCGCAUGAAUAAGGACCGGCUAAUUCCGUG
rnacentral:rRNA from 1 species